GAUUUCUGGCUUGAAACAUUUUGCCGGCCACGGUUUCGUGUGUUAGUGCUUGAUGUUCUGGCCAUCCUUCCAAUUGUCAUUCACUUCUCUUCAUUGAUUGGUGAGUGGUAUUGGAUCUUUUACUUUGAAAAAAUUAGAGUGUUUCAAGCAGGCUUUAUGCUAUGAAUACAUUAGCAUGGAAUAAUAAUUUAGGACUUCGGUUCUAUUUUGUUGGUGUUCUGGAGCUGAAGUAAUGAUUGAUAGGGAUAGUUGGGGGUGCUAGUAUUCAAUGGCCAGAGGUGAAAUUCUCGGAUUCCUUGAAGACUAACUUAUGCGAAAGCAUU
rnacentral:rRNA from 1 species